GGGGGUAUAGCUCAGCGGUAGAGCGCUGUCUUUGCACGGCAGAUGCCGGCGGUUCAAGCCCGCUUACCUCCA
rnacentral:tRNA from 1 species